rnacentral:misc_RNA from 1 species
AUGGAUCACACGGGCCCCAAU